rnacentral:rRNA from 1 species
UGUUAGGGCACGACACCGGAGAGGGAGCCUGAGAAACGGCUACCACAUCCAAGGAAGGCAGCAGGCGCGCAAAUUACCCAAUCCCGACACGGGGAGGUAGUGACAAUAAAUAACAAUACAGGGUUCUUUUGGAUCUUGUAAUUGGAAUGAGUACAAUUUAAAUCUCUUAACGAGGAACAAUUGGAGGGCAAGUCUGGUGCCAGCAGCCGCGGUAAUUCCAGCUCCAAUAGCGUAUAUUAAAGUUGUUGCAGUUAAAAAGCUCGUAGUUGAAUUUCGGGAUCAAUAUUUCGGUCGUGCCGUUGGUAUGCACUGUUAUCAUUGAUUUCUCACCUUCUAAAGAACCGUAAUGCCAUUAAUUUGGUGUUACGGGGAAUUAGGACUGUUACCUUGAAAAAAUUAGAGUGUUUAAAGCAGGCUCACGCUUGAAUACAUUAGCAUGGAAUAAUGAAAUAGGACAUCCGAUUCUAUUUUGUUGGCUUCUAGGAUCGAUGUAAUGAUUAAUAGGGAUAAUUGGGGGCAUUAGUAUUCAAUUGUCAGAGGUGAAAUUCUUGGAUUUAUUGAAGACUAACUACUGCGAAGCAUUCGCCAAGGAUGUUUUCAUUAAUCAAGAACGAAAGUUAGGGGAUCGAAGACGAUCAGAUACCGUCGUAGUCUUAACCAUAAACUAUGCCGACUAGGGAUCGGAUGAUGUUA